ACAGCAGUCGCCACGGUAAUACGUAGGUGGCAAGCGUUGUCCGGAAUUAUUGGGCGUAAAGCGCGCGCAGGUGGUCUAAUAAGUCUGAUGUGAAAGCCCACGGCUCAACCGUGGAGGGUCAUUGGAAACUGUUAAACUUGAGUGCAGGAGAGAAAAGUGGAAUUCCUAGUGUAGCGGUGAAAUGCGUAGAGAUUAGGAGGAACACCAGUGGCGAAGGCGGCUUUUUGGCCUGUAACUGACACUGAGGCGCGAAAGCGUGGGGAGCAAACAGGAUUAGAUACCCCUGUAGUCCCUGUCUCUUAUAC
rnacentral:rRNA from 1 species